UUUGAACUUGAAAAUGCAAUAUACUUUAAUUCAGAGAUUUAAAAAGUGAACAUACGUUUUAACCCAGCGGGUGCUGUAAACAGUACGUUGGCGGUUCACACCAGUUCAGAAAUUACCAAGGCAUCCAGUCUCCCAGCAAGUGCCAAGAGGCAUUCAUUCAAUGCUCCGCUGACACCAAUUUGCCCAAAGAGUAUUUAUGUGGGAGACUCCUCAGAUUGUGGAGACCCCAGAUUGUGGAGGCUCCUGGGCAGCUGGUCUUUUUGUGGACUCCUAAAUCUGGCACUGAACAAAAUUCUCUCUCUCUCUCUCUCUCUCUCUCUCUCUCUCUCUCUCUCUCUCUCUCUCUCUCUCUCUCUCUCUCUCUCUCUCUCUCUCUCUCUCUCUCUCUCUCUCUCUCUCUCUCUCUCUCUCUCUCUCUCUCUCUCUCUCUCUCUCUCUCUCUCUCUCUCUCUCUCUCUCUCUCUCUCUCUCUCUCUCUCUCUCUCUCUCCUCAACUCUCAGCCACUGGAUGGUAUAUCAGUUCACACAGCAAGAAGCCAAGGACCCACCGAGGCUGUCACUUGGAAGAGGUCAUUGUUGUUGCAUCCAGCAUCCCAGCCUGACUGCCUAGACAGGUCCCGCAGGUUGCUGAAUGGCAGAGGUGCAGGCUGCUCCACAGCAAAAUGUGAGACCAGUGUGGCAGAGUAUGAUGUGUACACAAUGAGGGACACACUGUAGCCAACCCAGUAGAUUACCCGUGCUGCACUGCUGAUUGGGUCCUCACCUUGUUGUAGGAGAGCUGACAACAUGUACCAGCCAGCAGCAACUCCCAUGCUAACAGGCUUCUCCCCCGUGGGUAUGUAGCACCUCUGGAGUCGCUCGAUGAAGAAGAGGAUGCUGGCGAGGCCUGUCGUGUUAGCCGGGAUGCGCCGGUACAGAGCUGUGUCCGUUGGGGUUGUGUAGGCAAGCAUCUUCUUGGCAAGGUCCUCGUAGGUGGCCGCAAACAGUUUACGGCUGUGGGAUGAGAACUUGUCUUGUGAAUGUGACGUUGGGAGGAGGGAAGCACAGGGGAAGAGGAGGACGAGGAGGAAGAGAGUUAAGAGUCACAAGAGGAGGAGGAAGGUGGAAAGAAAGAGGAAGGAGAGGAGGAGGAGGAGGAGGAGGAGGAGGAAGAUGGAGAAGGAAAGGAGAAAGAUAAGAAGGAAGGAAAUGCCGCAGAAGGAGAAGAGCAAUAAGAAAUUAGAAUUGACAGAGAAACCAGACAAGGGACUGCAUUUGAAGAAGCACAAGAACCAAGAAAUUACAUCAUUCAAUGAAAUGACAACAUAAUCUAAAAUAGAAAUAAAAAACGUCACAAGACAGAAUAGUGAGCUGCAUGCACUUAUCACAGAGUAUAAAGUCACUCCCUCAGAGGAAAAAGACAAGGAUGGCAUGUCUUCAUGUGAGAACUCAGAAGCUAAAUGUACAGAUACCAAGGGGAAAUUGCUGGGUCAAGUGGCUACACUGACAUCUGAGGUUAGCAGGUUGGAGAGUGAGUGCAGCAGUCUUCAGGUUCAGCUAGACUGUGAGAGGGAUAAGUAUAACAAACUGCUGGGAGAAUCUCUUGCUCAUGAAAAGUUGUCUGAAGAUGUCAUAACUGAACCAAAAGGAGAAACAACAGGAUUGGGAGGAACUGAGCUUUAACAGAAGCUGCAACAACUGCAGGAGGCUCACAGGGUCCUGGAGAGCAGGUUAACUUGCAGCAUGAAGGAGGUGGCUGAGCUAAGUGACAGGAAGUAGCAGCUUAAGCAUGCUGUAGUGCAUGAGGAGACAGAGUCCAUCGGUGUAUGCAUGUUUUUUGCUCAUUUGAAUCAUCUGUAAAAGUGAAGUGGAGGAAGUGUUUACUGUUUACUGUAUGCCAUUUCCUUGGUCUUUUAAUGAAGAAUUUUAUCCUUCUUCAGGUGACUACAUCACCAUCUACCAGUUGCAGCGAGGAGUGAUGAAGCAACAAGCUCGAGAACGCGAGUUAGACCUUGCCAGCCUCCAUCAUGAAUGAGAGGAAAUGAAGCAAAACCACUCUGCAGGAUUUGAUAUCAAAGCUGGUGCAGGAAAAGGAAGCAGAUCAUGACCUUCAGCAGCUCGAGAAGAUAAGCAGCGUCCUUAAGAGUCCAGUUGCUAUCUUUAGCAGUGUUGGAACCAGUGAGUCUGAGACACCCACCAGCAGUGGAAAGCUGGCUGACGAGCGCCUCAAGCACUCUGAAAAGGUGGAGCAACAACAAGAAACAGAAAAUUGCAUCCAUCAUUCUUUGCCUGAGGAGGGAAUUGAUGCUCUGUUGACCCUUCACACUGAUGUCCCUCAUGAGGAGGCAGAAUAUGAAUCCUACAGAACUUGCCCAUAGAAAAACCAAAACUGUUACUGCUGCCACACUGCCACCACUUCCACUGACACCAAAAGCCCAACUGUGCAGAGAAUCCUGGACCUCCGCAAUGAAAUGGAGUCCACCAGUCACCUGGAGCACUUUAGCCUCCAAAAGUUCCAUCCGUGUCCAUUGUGUUUGGGUAAACUUAUCACUGUAUAAGGGGACAAGUAUCAGUGUAUGGUUACUAUAUACUCAUUUGUACUUAAAGAUGUCAUGUCACAUCAUUCUCUCUCUCUCUCUCUCUCUCUCUCUCUCUCUCUCUCUCUCUCUCUCUCUCUCUCUCUCUCUCUCUCUCUCUCUCUC